AGCACGGGGUCGCCCCAAACCUCUUCUGCUUCUGCCCAUCACAAGUGCCACUACCGCCAUGGGCCUCACUAUCUCCUCCCUCUUCUCCCGACUAUUUGGCAAGAAGCAGAUGCGCAUUUUGAUGGUUGGAUUGGAUGCUGCUGGCAAGACAACCAUUCUGUAUAAACUGAAGUUAGGGGAGAUAGUCACCACCAUUCCUACCAUUGGGUCUUAUUUUUGUGGUAGAUAGCAAUGAUCGUGAAAGAAUUCAGGAAGUAGCAGAUGAGCUGCAGAAAAUGCUUCUGGUAGAUGAGUUGAGAGAUGCAGUGCUGCUACUUUUUGCAAACAAACAGGAUUUGCCAAAUGCUAUGGCCAUCAGUGAAAUGACAGAUAAACUAGGGCUUCAGUCUCUUCGUAACAGAACA
rnacentral:sRNA from 1 species